GUACACAAAAAUGCACAUAUUGUGAGCUCGAUGAGUAGGGCGGGACACGUGGUAUCCUGUCUGAAUAUGGGGGGACCAUCCUCCAAGGCUAAAUACUCCUGACUGACCGAUAGUGAACCAGUACCGUGAGGGAAAGGCGAAAAGAACCCCGGCGAGGGGAGUGAAAAAGAACCUGAAACCGUGUACGUACAAGCAGUGGGAGCCUCUUUAUGGGGUGACUGCGUACCUUUUGUAUAAUGGGUCAGCGACUUAUAUUCUGUAGCAAGGUUAACCGAAUAGGGGAGCCGAAGGGAAACCGAGUCUUAACUGGGCGUUAAGUUGCAGGGUAUAGACCCGAAACCCGGUGAUCUAGCCAUGGGCAGGUUGAAGGUUGGGUAACACUAACUGGAGGACCGAACCGACUAAUGUUGAAAAAUUAGCGGAUGACUUGUGGCUGGGGGUGAAAGGCCAAUCAAACCGGGAGAUAGCUGGUUCUCCCCGAAAGCUAUUUAGGUAGCGCCUCGUGAAUUCAUCUCCGGGGGUAG
rnacentral:rRNA from 1 species